AAUAGUACUUCCAGGUGUCCUGCGCGGAGCAGGAGGGGUCUGGACAGGAAUGACUUAUAAGAGAUCGCGUGACAAUCUAAGUAAACAAGAAUUAACAUUUACACGAACUCAGAAAGAGCGGCCGUGAACAAUCUACAGUUUAAGAUCAGAAACUAGCGCCAAACUAGCUCAGCGAUCAUACAGGAACGUCGCAGCUGGCAUUGCCCAACCAUCAGUGUAAAAAAAUUGAAUGAUGGGCCUUACAAAGGAACAAAAGCUAAAGGUAAAGUUAUACUUCUGUAAAAUGAGCGGCUAGCUACCGCCCCCGGGCUACAGGCAACCCUUUGAGGGCUGAUGGUCUGAAAGUUUAUUUUGUUUUUAACCUCGACCCUUUCAGAAGGGCACCAGUUGGGAUAAAGUUUCUUCUAGCACAAUAAUCAGUGAUCAGGCGCAAUGCGUAUUAAAUGAAUUUUUUAUUGGUAAUAAAUCUUCAAAAUUACUUUGGCGAUUAACUGAACUACAUGUAAUUUAUUCUCUAUUGCCAGAAUUCAGGGAUCUCGAUUUAGUCCGGUUUGACUGUCUAUUUAGACGGUUGCGGUCUUCAUUUGCAGACUUCAAUAGACUUGUCUCGGUAUUCGCUCUUCGACAUUUCAAGAGAAACCUAGAACUGAAGCGACGGCGUGAGUGCGGUUACUCCCGCGGGCGGCGAACAUGAUUCUCUUCGCAGCUGUUCAGGUGAUAGUUCGGAACGUGUCAGCGCAGGGAAUGCGGAUUUAAAAAUCAACUAUCAGUAAUGUCGAAAAAAGCGCAUAAAUCAAUUUGCAAUUGGGCGGUGUUUUAUAACACGUAUUUGCAUUUGUAGUCGGGAGAACGCUAAAACACUGUGCGUGUGACUAGCUGAAGAAACACAGGCAGUUUUUCUAGCUUUGAUUGACAACCUCGUACCCAGAGUCGACCAGAGUCUUCUCCACUUCUUGACGAAGACUUGAGUAUGAGAAAGACGGCUAUUUGGUCAUCGAAGACGUGUUUGAUGCUGCCAAAGUGAAGAAGCUUUCUGAAGCCGCGGAUGAAUUUGUUCUGAGGGCCGCCACCAUGACAGAGUCUGACGGAAAUUACAAUCUUGAGUGGAAAGACAAUUCGUCCAAACCAGUUUUGAAACGCGUGAACUUGCCUUCAGUGGUUCAUCCUGUCUUUGAAGACAUACAUCACGACAAAAAACUGCUGGACAUUGUUUCUGACCUGAUCGGUCCCUCCAUCCGUUACAUUCAACACGACUGUUUGUUUUUGAACUAUCCAGACCGUGGCGGUUGUCCAAUCAAAUGGCACCAAGACUGGGUUUUCUGGCCUCACACAAAUCAAAGUCUUGUGACUGGUUUCCUCUCUAUUGACGACUCCCGGCGUGAAAAUGGUAAGAGAUCUGAGUUGCAUAGAUGCCUUUUGUGUAAGGAAUAUAUAUAAAAGAAAGUCUGCCUACGAACCAAGAGGCCCAUCAGGCCGAAGCGUAUCCCGGU